ACGCGUGAGGAACCUGCCUCAAAGAGGGGGACAACAGUUGGAAACGACUGCUAAUACCGCAUAAGCCCACGGCUCGGCAUCGAGCAGAGGGAAAAGGAGCAAUCCGCUUUGAGAUGGCCUCGCGUCCGAUUAGCUAGUUGGUGAGGUAAUAGCCCACCAAGGCGACGAUCGGUAGCCGGACUGAGAGGUUGAACGGCCACAUUGGGACUGAGACACGGCCCAGACUCCUACGGGAGGCAGCAGUGGGGAAUAUUGCACAAUGGGGGAAACCCUGAUGCAGCGACGCCGCGUGGAGGAAGAAGGUCUUCGGAUUGUAAACUCCUGUUGUUGGGGAAGAUAAUGACGGUACCCAACAAGGAAGUGACGGCUAACUACGUGCCAGCAGCCGCGGUAAAACGUAGGUCACAAGCGUUGUCCGGAAUUACUGGGUGU
rnacentral:rRNA from 1 species